UACGUAGGGUGCGAGCGUUGUCCGGAAUUAUUGGGCGUAAAGGGCUCGUAGGCGGUUUGUCGCGUCGGGAGUGAAAUCCACUGGCUUAACUGGUGGCUUGCUUUCGAUACGGGCAGACUGGAGGUAUGCAGGGGAGAACGGAAUUCCUGGUGUAGCGGUGAAAUGCGCAGAUAUCAGGAGGAACACCGGUGGCGAAGGCGGGUCUCUGGGCAGUUACUGACGCUGAGGAGCGAAAGCGUGGGGAGCGAACAGG
rnacentral:rRNA from 1 species